GAGAGGAGGAAGGUGAGAGCCAGGGUAACAAGUCAGCAGUGGUAACAAGUCUUGUUACCACUGCUGACUUGUUACCCUGGCUCUCACCUUCCUCCUCUCC